CUCUUUGAAGCUCCAUGCUUGUUGCUGCUCCUGCAAAUUGGGGAAAAAAAACUCAAUGAAAAUCCUUUCCCUUAUAUUUUCAAAGAUCAAGGAUAAUACUUUGAGUUGAAUUACACAGUCUGAUUUGUGUUGGUUGAUGAUUGAAAGGAGAUGGCAGAACCUGUACGUAAAAAAGGAAACACCCAUCAUCGGGCAACGACAAUCCACCACCGCGUUUACCAUAGUUGACGGCGGAAGAAGUGUUAUCAUCGUCGGUGGUGCUGGAAGCGAGAAGAUCGACGUAAACCAGAUGAAAAUGAAAGCCCAAAGGGAAGGAGAAGGUACAGUCGAGAUUGAUGCUUCCAACUUAGGAUAAUUCGUUGACGGGUUGAUUGAAGGUCACCUAACAUUUCCCGUUAAGCUGAGUGGAAAAAUCGUUAUGUUGAGAGCCUUAAUAAAAAAAAGUUUAGGGCACAAAACCAAAAAACCUAAACGGUGAGGUAUUUUUUUUACUAUUAUGCCUUUAAAAAAUGUUGUUAACAAUUAGGAACUGAUUUGUCAUAUUUGAAUCAUAUGUAACCUAAAUAAAAAAUUUUAAAUAAUUUAAUGAAUAUAUAAUUUUGAAUCA